GGGGAAUAUUGCACAAUGGGGGAAACCCUGAUGCAGCAACGCCGCGUGAGUGAUGACGGUCUUCGGAUUGUAAAGCUCUGUCUUCAGGGACGAUAAUGACGGUACCUGAGGAGGAAGCCACGGCUAACUACGUGCCAGCAGCCGCGGUAAUACGUAGGUGGCAAGCGUUGUCCGGAUUUACUGGGCGUAAAGGAUGUGUAGGCGGAUAUUUAAGUGAGAUGUGAAAUCCCCGGGCUUAACUUGGGGGCUGCAUUUCAAACUGGAUGUCUAGAGUGCAGGAGAGGAAAGCAGAAUUCCUAGUGUAGCGGUGAAAUGCGUAGAGAUUAGGAAGAAUACCAGUGGCGAAGGCGACUCUCUGGGCUGUAACUGACGCUGAGGCGCGAAAGCGUGGGGAGCAAAC
rnacentral:rRNA from 1 species